rnacentral:rRNA from 1 species
CAGCGGAGGGAUCAUUACCGAGUUUACAACUCCCAAACCCAAUGUGAACGUUACCAAACUGUUGCCUCGGCGGGAUCUCUGCCCCGGGUGCGUCGCAGCCCCGGACCAAGGCGCCCGCCGGAGGACCAACCUAAAACUCUUAUUGUAUACCCCCUCGCGGGUUUUUUUAUAAUCUGAGCCUUCUCGGCGCCUCUCGUAGGCGUUUCGAAAAUGAAUCAAAACUUUCAACAACGGAUCUCUUGGUUCUGGCAUCGAUGAAGAACGCAGCGAAAUGCGAUAAGUAAUGUGAAUUGCAGAAUUCAGUGAAUCAUCGAAUCUUUGAACGCACAUUGCGCCCGCCAGUAUUCUGGCGGGCAUGCCUGUCCGAGCGUCAUUUCAACCCUCGAACCCCUCCGGGGGGUCGGCGUUGGGGAUCGGCCCUCCCUUAGCGGGUGGCCGUCUCCGAAAUACAGUGGCGGUCUCGCCGCAGCCUCUCCUGCGCAGUAGUUUGCACACUCGCAUCGGGAGCGCGGCGCGUCCACAGCCGUUAAACACCCAACUUCUGAAAUGUUGACCUCGGAUCAGGUAGGAAUACCCGCUGAACUUAAG